UCUCACUUCACUCCUCUUGCCCUAAGGCUUGGAACUUCACUGAAAGCUGGGUCUGGUAACUUAACUUCGCAAGCUUCAAAGCGGGUAAGCAAGCUCGGGUAAAGAGAAUAGCCGGCUUCAGGAAAGGAAGAGAAGUAGUUUACUUGUGAAGGCAGGUUUGGGUCAGUUCGCGGCAGGGGAAGGAGAUUGAGUGGGUUCUGGCCACUCCGACAGAGAAGGAAGCCGGCCAAAGUAGAAUACGAUUAACCGGAACAGCACCCGCCUAUUGAAG
rnacentral:misc_RNA from 1 species